rnacentral:rRNA from 1 species
UAGCCGUAAACGAUACUCGCUAGGUGUCGGCCACGGUGCGACCGUUGUCGGUGCCGUAGGGAAGCCGUGAAGCGAGCCACCUGGGAAGUACGGCCGCAAGGCUGAGACUUAAAGGAAUUGGCGGGGGAGCACCACAACGGGUGGAGCUUGCGGUUUAAUUGGACUCAACGCCGGAAAUCUUACCGGGACCGACAGCAACAUGAAGGCCAGGCUGAAGACUUUGCCGGAUUAGCUGAGAGGAGGUGCAUGGCGUAGUCGUGU